rnacentral:rRNA from 1 species
UACAGAGGUGGCAAGCGGUGUUCGGAUUUACUGGGCGUAAAGGGUGCGUAGGCGGUCCCGCAUGUCGGAUGUGAAAUCCCACGGAUCAUCCGUGGAACGGCAUUCGAAACUGCGGGGCUAGAGUGCAGGAGAGGAGGGCAGAAUUCUCGGUGUAGCGGUGAAAUGCGUUGAUAUCGAGGGGAAUGCCGGUGGCGAAGGCGGCCCUCUGGACUGCAACUGACGCUGAGGCACGAAAGACGGGGGAGCAAACAGG